ACUACCUACUGCGCCACUGCCUCGCCCAUAACUAAUUUUACCAUAGGAAUAAUAUUUAGGUUGUUGUGCUUUUUUCCUUUAAGUUAUAAGGUAAACGUUUGGUAUAGUAGGCCAUAUAUGUGUGGUCCCACAUUAAAAAAAUACUAAAGUAAUUUAUAGUAAAUAUUAUAGUGUUUAUGAACCACUAUGAACCAGUAAAGUGUAGGCUAUCUAUUAUUUACAUCACUUUGCUCAUAAAUGCCACAGCACUGUAUAAACUAGUAAACUCAUAAACUGUACUAAUAAUUGUAGUAAACUGAUGGAUUAGUUUAAUUGUUGAAAACUAGUGCGGUAUUUGGGUAAUUUGUUAUAUUACCACUGCAACUAUAGAAUUACCACAACAGAUUAAUUUUAAACACUGUAUAUGGUACAAAAACACUAUAGAAUUUACAAUAAAUGACUGCAUUUUUAUGAGGGAUGUAAGUUUUCCAAGACUGCCCUCGUGUCUGCAUGUGGAUAUGCAGACUUAAGUUACCUGUUAUGCUUUUCAGACUGAAGUACCAUUGUCAUGUAAAUCACGUCAAAAGUAACUAUUUGCAAGCCCUUUCAGCCCCCGACAAACUGAUACGCGGGAGGAUUUAUUUGCAGCAGAUUUGAUGUGAGUGACACGUGUGCUCUGAAAUAGUAUUGUAUUAGCCUAUGAAUUCAGCAAGAGCAUGAAUGCCAGGCAAACAAUAAGUACCGAGGCGCUAAUUUUGCACAAAUAUAACCGUGCGAACUCGGUCCAUUUGCCAAAUGCGUAAUUGUAGACCGACCUUGUCCAUCAGCCAUUGGUCGAAGCGUCCACGGAGGUAUUAAUUGGUUUAAAAUAGUGAUGAAAUGUUCCUCUCGAGUGUGACCUCCAUGUGGAGAGCCUGAGGUGCGAGUGAGCCGUUAGCAUGCAGCUGUCGCAGAAAGGACCGGUCGCGUGCUGGAAAAGUCUCAAUUGCCGCGCGCGGGAGCCAGGUAGAAGUGGCGGGAUAUGGCAAGCCGAAGGUAUCGUAAAUACACUAUUAAUCAAUCGCGUUUACAAUUAAAACGCCGCAUUAAACGGCGCUAAUACCAUUUCAAACGCCGCUAAAAACGCCGUUCUGGUUGCAAACGCCGCAAAUAACGCGCGUAAACCUGUAAAAAACGCCGUUUUUAACGCCGUUUUAGUGUUAGUAAAAAGCGCGGCUUAUGACGCAUUCCGCUUGCCACAAAACGCCGUUUAAAACGCCGUUUUAACCCCACUGAAACGCGCGUUAUGAACGGCGCUUUCCUGAAGUAUAAUGAGCCACUCCCGCUGAUUUCCACAGCCAGUAAGCUUGAGCUGCUCUCACCCAAUCAACGAUGAACAGAACCAGACAAGACUAAUUCACCACUGAUCGUGGCACUCUGAACUGAUAGCAAAUGCUUUAUUACAAAGUACCUUUUAACAUAGAUAGAUUCCACGUCUUUAUGCUUGUUAAUGUUCAUUUUAGAUAGAUGGCAUCAGCAGAAAUGUAUUUUUGGAAGUGCCUUGGCAAAAGUGACCGGGCAUGUUGUUGUAACCCUUAUUUCUGGCUGUUUACAGACCAUUCUCUUCAACGUGGGCAUCGCAAAUAAACGCUGGAUACCAGGGUGAUAAUUCGUUUCUUUUAUUUAAUCUGGAGCAUCGACAUAACAUUCACAAACAACAUUACAACAGCAUUGCAUCUGCCGAAUUCCUCCACUUCCUUUUUUCCCUCUCUCUCCUGCUUUCCAGUGCGCCUCCCUUAAAGGAGCCGGAGCACAACAAUAACUUUCUCAACUAACACAUAUUAAACAUUGUAACAGACAUAUUGAACGUAAAUAGUUUAAGUAGAUUCAAUAACAUUUUUACAGUUAAGUAUUAAUUAGCAAAAUAUAAAUUAAAAUAAUGAAUAAAAUGUAAAGUUACAUUGACGUUACAUUGACAUAGCAGGUCUAUGCAAACGCAAACUGACUUAAUACUAUUAGGGCUGGAUGGGCAACAUCAGUUGGAGGGCUAAUGCAGAUUUUAGCUCCAGCCCAUCAAGCUCCUGCCAGCUUUAGUGGUCUUGAAUACGUUGGUUAGCUUGUUUGGGUGCGUUUGAUGUGCGUUAUAGCAAAACUCCACAAUGCCAUCCCUGACAGGCCCUGCGCCAGGGGCAUUUUAAUAGGGCAGACCUUAUGACUGAUUUUGGACCCUCCUGUUCCUUUCAUUUAGGCUAUUUGUUCACUUAUUUGUUAUUACUUUGCAUUGCUGCCCAAGUUACUGACUUAAGGCAGUAUAAUAUACUUUUAUAGUAAUAAUAAUACGCACAGUUUCAUUAUUACAUCAAUGAAUUAGGUAGUGCAACGAUGCUGUUUAUAUAAAUGAGACAGAUCUUUCAGCGCCAAACAAGUGCUUUACAUUAUUUUAUUCUCCUUAUUUAUUUUCGUUUUAUUUCAAAUAAUAAGUGUUAAAAGUUUUAAGUAAAGACAUCAAACUAUGCCCACACAUGCAAGCUAACCCGGUUAGACUAUAUUCUAUACCGGUAUAGUGAAAUCAGCAUAACACAAAAAAAUACGUUUAAAAAUCAAGAUUUAAAAUUAAAUGCCAUUAUUUAAAUUGUUUUUAAAUUGUUUAAAUGUUUAUGUAAAUGCUGCGUUCAGGCUGCAUUACUUUAAAGUGUGCAUUACCGAGCCUUAUUCCAGCACUGCAGCAGAGAGCGUUGUCAUGGAAAUGGAGCAACGACACGACACGACACGACCCCUGACCGUCAACAGCACUUCUCUCAUGCGGCAGUUUUCACUAAUUUCAGGAGUGACAAAAUUGCCCCUACAACAAAAUAGAAGAGCCAAGAUGAAGGGAGCUGAUCACAGAGAUGGAGGAAACACAGCAUCUUAAAAGGGGCCCAAUGGUUCUAGAGCCAAUCAGCUGCUGAACAUAUUUAUAUGAUAAGAAAGAAGCCUGCUACAAGAGAGACAGCGGAAGGGAGCCUCCAAGACAUUUUUAUUAGGAUCUGCUAAUCAUGAGGGGGCAGACAAAAGAAACUGCAUUUUCCUUCAGCUUAAUAUCAGGGGUCGCCACAGCGGAAGAAUCUGGAUAUUACUUUGGCAUAUGUUUUACACAGCAAAUGGCCUCUCAGCUGCAACCCAGCACUGUGAAACACCCAUACACUCUCGCAUUCACAGACACUUCUACACAAUGUUCAAAUUCACCUACACAGUAUAGCGCAUGUGUUUGGACUGUGGUGGAGACCCACACCAAAACAGGGAGAACAUGCAAACUCCACACAGUAAUGCCAACUGACCCAACCGGGACUUGAACCACCAACCUUUUUGCUGUGAGGUGACAGUCUGAGCCACUGUGCUGCCCCAGUGUAGUUCUUAAUAACUUCCAGAUAUUUUACAGUUUGAUUUUGUAAUAAUAAUGUUUACAUUUAUUGUAAUAUGUUAAUAUUUAUUCACAAUGUAAUUAUUUUUUAUGUUAUUUAUAUUAAUGUUAAAUGUUAUAUUAAUGUUAUAAUAUAUUAUAAUAAAUAAUUAUAAUAAUGUUAAAUUAUAAAUAAUAAAAAAAUUUAUAAUGUUAUAAUGUUUUUUAUAGUUUAUUUUUAUAUAUAAUGAUAAGUCUCAAAGUUUGUCUUUUUAUUAUAGACAAACUUAUUGUUGUAUGGGUAACACUUUUCAAUAAGGUUGUAUGUAUUAGUUAAUGUUAAUGUAUUUACUAACGUAACCAAUGCAUUUAUUACAGUAUUUAUUCAUCUUUGCUAAUGUUGGUAAAUGGUAAAAAAGUUGUUCAUUGUUUUUUCAUUUUAAUUCACAAUUUAUAAGCUAAAGUUAACAAGCAUGAGUUUGGAUUUUAUUAAUGCAUUAGUAAAUGCUGUACAUUAAUUAUGCUGUACAAGUAUUGGUGAUACUUAGUUCAUAUUUAACCCUUUAACAUUAACUAAUGAAACUACUGUAAAGCGUAAUUUUAUGUAGUUUAUAUGCAUUUUAUAUUUAUUUUGUUAUAUUUGUUAACGUAUGUGUUUUUGAAACAAUUCACCAUAAUCUAAGUGUUUAACGUAUGCUCGUUAUGUAGUAUUAUGAAUAAAUUUUAUAAUGAUUAA